GUAAUCUCUAUUGUAGCUGGGCCGAAUGGGAGGACCGAGGCUGAAAAUCUCUGUGGAGGACAGGAGCAUUAUGGAAAAGGAUUGCAAAGGAAGCAAAAGUGACAGGAUUUCUUCUUGAUUGUGCCAUGUGGUCCAGCAAUGGAGCAGCUUUCUCUACCCUGACUUCCUGAGUUCUAGACUUCAUCAAAAGAUGGUUGGAAAGAAAUUAUGAAGAUCCACUUCUCUUCUAAGAAAAUUCCUCACUGCAUCAUAUAUUUUUCUUCUACAUCAG